CGUAGGUGGCAAGCGUUAUCCGGAUUUACUGGGUGUAAAGGGCGCGUAGGCGGGAGAACAAGUCAGAUGUGAAAUGUGGGGGCUUAACCCUCAAGCUGCAUUUGAAACUGUACUUCUUGAGUAUCGGAGAGGCAGGCGGAAUUCCUAGUGUAGCGGUGAAAUGCGUAGAUAUUAGGAGGAACACCAGUGGCGAAGGCGGCCUGCUGGACGACAACUGACGCUGAGGCGCGAAAGCGUGGGGAGCAAACAGGAUUAGAUACCCUGGUAGUCCACGCUGUAAACGAUGAAUACUAGGUGUGGGGGGACUAACCCCUCCGUGCCGCAGUUAACACAAUAAGUAUUCCACCUGGGAGUACGGCCGCAAGGUU
rnacentral:rRNA from 1 species